GCAGGCAUCGUAUAGUGGUUAUUACACUUCGUUGUGGUACAUGAAGCGUAACCCGAAGAAACGGAUGUUCGAUUCCUCCUGCUUGCA